GUGGCUGUAGCUCAAUCGGCAGAGCAUCGCACUGUGGAUGCGAGGGUUGUAGACCCAUCAGCCACC
rnacentral:tRNA from 1 species